CCCCUAGAUGUUCUGGGCCGCACGCGCGCUACACUGAACAGUUCAACAAGUCUUAACCUUGGCCGAUAGGUCUGGGUAAUCUUUGAACGCUGUUCGUGAUUGGGAUAGACCUUUGCAAUUAUGGGUCUUCAACGAGGAAUUCCUAGUAAACGCAAGUCAUCAGCUUGCAUUGAUCACGUCCCUGCCCUUUGUACACACCGCCCGUCGCACCUACCGAUUGAAUGGUCCGGUGAAAUCUCGGGACGGCGGCUUGGUCGCUUGCGUCCGACUGCUGAAACUUGAUUAAACCAUAUCAUUUAGAGGAAGGUGAANUCGUAACA
rnacentral:rRNA from 1 species